CAAAGAGUAGUUUAAUUAAGAAUACUAGCUUUGGGAGUUAGUGGUAGGGGUUAAAAUCCCCUCUCUUUGA
rnacentral:tRNA from 1 species